rnacentral:rRNA from 1 species
AGUGAACGCUGGCGGUAGGCCUAACACAUGCAAGUCGAACGGCAGCACAGUAAGAGCUUGCUCUUACGGGUGGCGAGUGGCGGACGGGUGAGGAAUACAUCGGAAUCUACUUUUUCGUGGGGGAUAACGCAGGGAAACUUACGCUAAUACCGCAUACGACCUACGGGUGAAAGCAGGGGAUCUUCGGACCUUGCUCGAUUGAAUGAGCCGAUGUCGGAUUAGCUAGUUGGCGGGGUAAAGGCCCACCAAGGCGACGAUCCGUAGCUGGUCUGAGAGGAUGAUCAGCCACACUGGAACUGAGACACGGUCCAGACUCCUACGGGAGGCAGCAGUGGGGAAUAUUGGACAAUGGGCGCAAGCCUGAUCCAGCCAUACCGCGUGGGUGAAGAAGGCCUUCGGGUUGUAAAGCCCUUUUGUUGGGAAAGAAAAGCAGCAGGUUAAUACCCCGCUGUUCUGACGGUACCCAAAGAAUAAGCACCGGCUAACUUCGUG